ACCAUUUAGCAUCUCAUUAAGUGGGCAGUCUGAAGUGUGCUCAGAGAAAACUUAAAUUCUGCUAUUUGGUUUGUAAUUGUGGCCCUAGGCUUGAUAGGAGGUAGUACCAGGGACUCAUCACUAAGUUCUUACCUAAAGAAGACAUCUGUGAGCCUUGAUAACUUCGUUGGCGUCAAGGUGAGAGAACAAGAAGGAAAUAACAGGAAAACUGGCAAGGAAAGCAGUGCGAGGCUGAGCUUCCUGGUCGCACUCUGCAAACAGGUCACUUCUCAGUCAUGCACCAGCAGGCUGUCAGGAGGAGCAAAGAACUCUGUUGAGCCUUUCACAUGUAAACUAUGGAAACAAAGCAACCUCUCUGAAAUGAAGAGAUGAAACGAGCACAGUGGGGUGGAAGCUCCUCUAACUCAGCAUACUACCUUCUCUUUGCUCCCAUCCCUCUCUUUAGAUCCCCUCCAGGUCCUUCUGUGUGUGAUUUUGUCUGUUUCUUUAGUUCUGAUCAAAGAAAAUGAGAUCCAUUCUUUUUUUGUGGAAUCUAUGACUUUAAGGGGUGUUUAUUUGAGUUUUCUCAGUGGAUUUUUUUUUUUUCUUUUGGUGGUUUGUUAUUGUUUUCCCCAGAAGGCAGACUGUCAGUUAACAGUUAUGUUAACAUCAAACUGAACAAGUCCAUGACAGGAAAAUGCUAGUGUGUCCAUGAACUUUUCCUUACUAAGCUCCUUUACAUCUUCAUGCUGCACAUUGCUGUAACAGCUAAAGCAGAUAACAUCUUGCUGAGUUCUUUGAGUUUUCCUUGAUGCAGCUAAAGAUUUUCAAGAAAUUGCCCUGAAACUUUCUGCCCCUUGCACAAAUUGCCUUGUAUCUAAAGCACAGUUGCCCAGCCUUUUGGCUUGCCUGGGUCACAUUGGGUGAAGAAAUUGUCUUGUACUGCAUAUGAAAUAUAUUCUUAAUGUCUAUAAGUAGCAAAACUUAUUCUAGUUAUUUACUGUUUUUAUAAAAGCACAAAAAAAGAGCAACAAAAAUGUAAAACAAGUGGGAUGUUUGACCUUGGUUGUGUGAAACUAGCACGUCAGUCUGGUUUGAUGGCAGUGGUUGCAAUUCUUAGUGAGUUUCUCCAGG
rnacentral:lncRNA from 1 species